rnacentral:rRNA from 1 species
GACGAACGCUGGCGGCGUGCUUAACACAUGCAAGUCGAGCGGUAAGGCCCUUUCGGGGGUACACGAGCGGCGAACGGGUGAGUAACACGUGGGUGACCUGCCUUUAGCUCUGGGAUAAGCCUGGGAAACCGGGUCUAAUACCGGAUAUGACUCCGCGGCGCAUGUUGUGGGGUGGAAAGCCUUGUGCGGCUGGAGAUGGGCCCGCGGCCUAUCAGCUUGUUGGUGGGGUGAUGGUCUACCAAGGCGACGACGGGUAGCCGGCCUGAGAGGGCGACCGGCCACACUGGGACUGAGACACGGCCCAGACUCCUACGGGAGGCAGCAGUGGGGAAUCUUGCGCAAUGGGCGAAGCCUGACGCAGCGACGCCGCGUGGGAGG